UCAAGCAAUAAGGGCACAGGGCGGAUGCCUUGGCACUAAGAGCCGAUGAAAGACGUGAUAAGCUGCGAAAAGCUUCGGGGAGGAGCAAAUAUCCCGUGAUCCGGAGAUGUCUGAAUGGGGAAACCCGCAUGAGCAGACCUCAUGCAUCCAUACGCCAAUCCAUAACGUAUGGAAGGGAACCCGGGGAACUGAAACAUCUAAGUACCCGGAGGAAAAGAAAGAAACAUCGAUUCCGUAAGUAGCGGCGAGCGAACGCGGAGGAGCCUAAACCGGUGUGCGUGCAUGCCGGGGUCAUGGACUGCAUUUAAGAUUCAGCGAAGUUAACAGAACGGUUUUGGGAAAGCCGGCCGGAGAGGGUGAAAGCCCCGUACGUGAAAGCAGAGCUGACUGAGCAGGAUCCGGAGUACCACGAGACACGAGGAACCUUGUGGGAAGUAAGGGGGACCACCCCCUAAGGCUAAAUACUACUUAGUGACCGAUAGCGCAUAGUACUGUGAAGGAAAGGUGAAAAGGACCCCGGGAGGGGAGUGAAAGAGAACCUGAAACCCUGUGUCUACAAGCUGUGGAAGUACUUUAUAUGUACGACCGCGUACUUUUUGUAGAACGGUCCGGCGAGUUACGCUUACUGGCAAGGUUAAGCACUUCAGGUGUGGAGCCGUAGGGAAACCAAGUCUUAAUAGGGCCAGAGUCAGUAGGAGUAGACCCGAAACCGGGUGAUCUAUCCAUGUCCAGGUUGAAGCUGCCGUAAGAGGUAGUGGAGGACCGAACCCACAUCCGUUGAAAAGGGUGGGGAUGAGGUGUGGAUAGGGGAGAAAUUCCAAUCGAACCCGGAGAUAGCUGGUUCUCCUCGAAAUAGCUUUAGGGCUAGCCUCGGUGUGAGUCUUGCGGAGGUAGAGCACUGAAUUUCCUAGGGGGCGUCAAAGCCUACCGAAGAAUAUCAAACUCCGAAUGCCGUGUAGAUAUCACCGGGAGUCAGACUGCACGAGAUAAGUUGGGCGGUCAAAAGGGAAAGAGCCCAGACCUACAGUUAAGGUCCCAAAGUGCGCGUUAAGUGGAAAAGGAUGUGGGAUUUCGAAGACAACCAGGAUGUUGGCUCAGAAGCAGCCAUACAUUCAAAGAGUGCGUAAUAGCUCACUGGUCGAGAGGUCCUGCGCCGAAAAUGUCCGGGGCUGAAACGCGCCACCGAAACUAAGGAAUCUGAAAAGAUUGGUAGAGGAGCAUUGCAUGCGGGAAGAAGCAGUACCGGAAGGAGCUGUGGACUGCAUGGAAGAGAGAAUGCCGGAAUGAGUAGCGAGAUAGAGGUGGGAAUCCUCUAGGCCGAAUAUCCAAGGUUUCCAGGGUAAAGCUGAUCUGCCCUGGGUGAGUCGGGACCUAAGGUGAGGGCGAGAGCCGUAGCCGAUGGACAACAGGUUGAUAUUCCUGUACUGCAGUAUGACAGAACUGUGGGGACACGUAAGGAGAGCGGGAGCCGGGAAUGGAAAGCCCGGUACAAGCGAGGUACCAGUCACAUAGGAAAAUCCGUGUGGCAAUGGGAAGACGUGAUGUGGAGCGAAGAUUAGUAGCGAAGCCCGUGAGCCAUGCGUCAAGAAAAGCCGCUAUCGUUCAUAUUGUACCCGUACCGUAAACCGACACAGGUGGAUGAGGAGAGAAUCCUAAGGCCGGCGGAAGAAGUAUUGCCAAGGAACUCGGCAAAAUGGCCCCGUAACUUAGGGAGAAGGGGGGCCUGCGAGAGCAGGCCGCAGAGAAUAGGCGCAAGCAACUGUUUAGCAAAACCACCGGUCUAUGCGACACCGAAAGGUGAGGUAUAUGGGCUGACGCCUGCCCGGUGCUGGAAGGUUAAGAGGAGAGGGUAGCGGUAACGCGAAGCUUUGAAUUUAAGCCCCAGUAAACGGCGGCCGUAACUAUAACGGUCCUAAGGUAGCGAAAUUCCUUGUCGGGUAAGUUCCGACCCGCACGAAAGGCGUAAUGAUUUGAGCGCUGUCUCGGCAAUACAUCCGGUGAAAUUGAAGUGCCAGUGAAGAUGCUGGCUACCCGCGCCAGGACGGAAAGACCCCAUGGAGCUUUACUCCAGUUUGGCACUGGGGUCCGGUGUUGCAUGUACAGGAUAGG
rnacentral:rRNA from 1 species